ACUUGGCUGGCUCAGUCAGUAGAGCAUCAGAUUCUUGAUCUUAGGUAGUGAGUUCGAGUCCCACACUGGGUG
rnacentral:tRNA from 1 species